rnacentral:rRNA from 1 species
UACAGAGGUCUCAACCGUUGUUCGGAUUCAUUGGGCGUAAAGGGUGCGUAGGCGGCGGGGCAAGUCAGGUGUGAAAUCUCGGGGCUCAACCCCGAAACUGCACUUGAUACUGCCUUGCUCGAGUACUGGAGAGGAGACUGGAAUUUACGGUGUAGCAGUGAAAUGCGUAGAUACCGUAAGGAAGACCAGUGGCGAAGGCGAGUCUCUGGACAGUUACUGACGCUGAGGCACGAAGGCCAGGGGAGCAAACGGG